UUUCUUUUUCAUCGUACGCGUCGCGUCAGGUAGCGAUGCAGCAGCAGCACACACAGAUUAACGGAGGACUGCGAUCGCUUACUCCUCGUCUUCUGUUCCUUCCCUAUUGUCUGUUUUUCUCUCUCUCUCUCUCUCUCUUUCUCACACACACACGCCAACACAUACUCUCUUUCAUUUUUCUGGACUUUGUCUGCGGCAAAGACUCGCGGGUGCAAGGAUUAUUUUCUCAAGGACGUUGAAGUUUAUAAAAGAAAGUUGAAGAAGAGGCCCUAUCUCUACGGAUUUGUUAAAUGAAAGUAAUUGAAAAAAGGGGCGUGCACGCAGAUCGGUUUGCGACGUAGACACAAUACAACCAUAGAUUUAACGCAUAUCUGGCUAGUCCGAGAACAGGUCGGAAAAUAAUCAUCGGCCAGUUCGAAUAUGAGAAAGGAAAAGAUUGUCGACAUCUUUUCUAAACUGGACUGCACUGACAUCAAUGACGAUUCCCAUCGUCGUUUCCGAGCGACAAUAAGCGGCAAACGCCCCAACAACUUUUUCUUCGUAACACCGUAGAAGCGUCGAGCGGCCAUUUUGAACGCGCCACUUUUAAAUCGAAUUACAUCGAAUUUUAUACUUGACGCGCGAUUUUUUUACUUUAGACAAUUAAUUUAUGCUAUUUUAUUUAUGAUUUUAUUGAAAUUAACAUAAGUAUAUACUUAUUUAAUAUCGGUGUAAAAAUGUGAGAUUAAUUUUUCGGUUAUGAUAACAAUAAGAUACAUCAGAUAAUGGAAAAUAAAAACAAAGGGACUUCAAUUCUCUUUCGAAAAUAAAUAGUUUGCUUUACAAAAUUUUAAUACAAUAUUUAUUACACUCGCGUAGAGUACACUCUUAUUAAUAUGCAUAUAAUGGAAAUGAUAUAAACCAAAAAUAAAUUUUGAUAAUUAAGUCUGAUUUACUAAAGUAAUUAAACGAUUAUUUUAUUGCUAUAUUUAAUUGUAGAUAUAUAGAAUUACAACUUUGUACGUGAUAUUUUCGAUCGUGCGUUUUAAGUUUAUACUAUUAUUUUCUUUUUGUUUUUCGUAUAAAAAAUUCGAAAACUUUAAUAUUCUAAAAUGAAUUUUCGUAUAAUGUGAAUUAUUUUCGAUUAAAAAAGUGAAUACUCCGAGUUAAUAUACGUAUGUAUAACGUAAUUUUUGUUAACAAUCGUAGUGCUAAAUUGGUUCCAUUAUAUAAGACGAAGAUAUUGCCAACGACAUGACAAAUGGCAUUGCCUUUAUAUUCCGUCAAUCGCUUUGUUGCAAAAUUGCAAGAGAUCAUUCAAUGUAUAUAUAAUCAAAGUUAUUUUUACAAUUCUUCUUUCUCUUCUUUUUUUUUCUUUCUUUUUAACAGGUACUCUUAUCUUUUUAGUCGAUUUACAAUAAUCAUAAGAAUGAUAAAUUGCAGUUUGGAAGAUUGUCCAAGACCUUAUGUUUCAAUCGGCGCGAUUAACUGUAUAUAUUUAAAAGAAUUAUUAAAGAGAUAAAGAAAUUCAUAUUUUAUAUGCCCAGUCUUAAUUUAGAUUCUAAGGCCACUAUUCGAACAUUGCUCUGCGCGUUAAAAGCACCAUUUCGAUCGACGGAUGUAAAUAUGGAAAGUGCUUUCAAAGCCGAACUCGAAAUAAGAAUACAGAGGCUCUUGGACUAAAUAUC